UCCUUCUCCUUCUCCUUCUCCUUCUCCUUCUCCUUCUCCUUCUCCUUCUCCUUCUCCUUCUCCUUCUCCUUCUCCUUCUUCUCCUUCUCCUUCUCCUUCUCCUUCUCCUUCUCCUUCUCCUUCUCCUGUUCCAGGUCCUUCCCAGAUCCCGUGGCCUCACCGUUCUGGCCUGGCUUUGGUGGUUCAUCCCUCUGUGUGCUCUGAGGGGCCAGGUCAGCCCCAAGGCCCUGGGCCUCGGCCCUGGUGACGAUGGUGGUGAGGAUGUCGAUCAUCUCCGCCGUGGUGACCGUGCCCGCCUUGUACCUGCGCAGGAGGUCCUGGCGCCGGUGGUCGGGGACGUAGCGGGAGAAGAGGAGCUCCCAGAGGGUGACGCUCUGGCCCUGGAAGAGCCCCACGCCGAGGGUGGUGCGGGCGGCCUGCAGGGCUUUGCGGGCGUCCUCGGUGAGCUGGUGGAGCACGGAGCCCUUGUCCAUCAGCUGCAGCAUGAGCAGCCCCGUGUCGGGGUCGGGGACGCAGCGGCGCAGCAGCUGCACGUAGGUCAGGUUCUCGUGGGUGUUGGGGUCGAAGAAGCCCUUGGUGUCGUCAGUGGGGUCGGACAGGACCUGGUUCAUCUCCUGGUCGAAGUAGCCCCGUUUGUAGGCCACCUCCACGGGCAGGCGGUGGCUGUGCACGGGGUCGAUGAUGCCGCCGGUGGCGAUCUGGGCCUCGAGCAGGCGGAUGCCGUGGUCCCUGACGAUCAGCUCCUUCUGCAUGGCCUGGAAGAGGGAGAUCUUGUCGCCCGUGUAGGGGUCGGAGUAGCCCGUCACGGCCCGCUCGGCCGACAGCAGCUUCUCCUGCAGUUCACUGCCCACCAGCCCGGCCGACACGGCCUCGUCCACCGACAGCUUCUGGUUGCUCACGGGGUCCACCAUGAAGCCCGUGGCCGCCUGCGCCUCCAGCAGCACCAGGGCCGUGCCCUGCCUCAGGAUGCCCUUCCACAUGGCCUGGUAGAUGCUCAUCUUCUCCAUCCUGCCGGGGUCGGCCUUGGAGGGCACCAGCACGCCGGCGAUGACGCCCGUGCCGUCCAGGUAGCGCUU
rnacentral:lncRNA from 1 species